UGGGGAAUAUUGGACAAUGGGCGAAAGCCUGAUCCAGCCAUGCCGCGUGUGUGAAGAAGGUCUUCGGAUUGUAAAGCACUUUAAGUUGGGAGGAAGGGCAGUAAGCGAAUACCUUGCUGUUUUGACGUUACCGACAGAAUAAGCACCGGCUAACUCUGUGCCAGCAGCCGCGGUAAUACAGAGGGUGCAAGCGUUAAUCGGAAUUACUGGGCGUAAAGCGCGCGUAGGUGGUUCGUUAAGUUGAAUGUGAAAGCCCCGGGCUCAACCUGGAAACUGCAUCCAGAACUGGCGAGCUAGAGUAGGGCAGAGGGUGGUGGAAUUUCCUGUGUAGCGGUGAAAUGCGUAGAUAUAGGAAGGAACACCAGUGGCGAAGGCGACCACCUGGGCUCAUACUGACACUGAGGUGCGAAAGCGUGGGGAGCAAACAGG
rnacentral:rRNA from 1 species